CGCGGCCUAUCAGCUUGUUGGUGGGGUAGUGGCCUACCAAGGCGGCGACGGGUAGCCGGCCUGAGAGGGUGACCGGCCACAUUGGGACUGAGAUACGGCCCAGACUCCUACGGGAGGCAGCAGUGGGGAAUAUUGCACAAUGGGCGCAAGCCUGAUGCAGCAACGCCGCGUGCGGGAUGACGGCCUUCGGGUUGUAAACCGCUUUCAGCAGGGACGAGGCUUUUUGUGACGGUACCUGCAGAAGAAGCACCGGCUAACUACGUGCCAGCAGCCGCGGUGAUACGUAGGGUGCGAGCGUUGUCCGGAUUUAUUGGGCGUAAAGGGCUCGUAGGCGGUUGAUCGCGUCGGAAGUGGAAACUUGAUGCUUAACGUUGAGCGUGCUUUCGAUACGGGUUGACUUGAGGAAGGUAGGGGAGAAUGGAAUUCCUGGUGGAGCGGUGGAAUGCGCAGAUAUCAGGAGGAACACCAGUGGCGAAGGCGGUUCUCCGGACCUUUCCUGACGCUGAGGAGCGAAAGCGUGGGGAGCGAACAGGCUUAGAUACCCUGGUAGUCCACGCUGUAAACGGUGGGUACUAGGUGUGGGGUCCAUUCCACGGAUUCUGUGCCGUAGCUAACGCAUUAAGUACCCCGCCUGGGGAGUACGG
rnacentral:rRNA from 1 species